rnacentral:lncRNA from 1 species
AUCGCUUGCAUCUUUGCGAAACCUAAAGGUUUCGUCAUUGAAAACAAAUAGAGUAUUAAAGCUCCAAGGUCACUGCCUCUGCAUUCUACUUCUACACCAGCACAAACAGUACAUGAGCAAGUGCAACAAAUGCCACUAAACUCUACACCUUCUGCAUCACAAGCAGUGCGUGAACAAUUGCAGCAUUCCACUGCUACAGGUGGAUCACUGCCUUUGCAUUCUACUUCUGCACUAGCACAAACAGUACAUGAGCAAGUGCAACAAAUUCCACUGAACUCUACCUCUCUUGCAUCACAAGCAGUACGUAAGAAAUUGCAAUAACUACCAUUGGAUUCCACCCCUCGUACUUCACAAACGGUACAAGAACAAGUUGAGGAUUCUUCCAAUCAUGAAACAAACGAG